rnacentral:rRNA from 1 species
UCGAUGAAGAACGCAGCGAAAUGCGAUAAGUAAUGUGAAUUGCAGAAUUCAGUGAAUCAUCGAAUCUUUGAACGCACCUUGCGCUCCUUGGUAUUCCGAGGAGCAUGCCUGUUUGAGUGUCAUUAAAUUCUCAAACUCCGAUCGAUUUGUUUCGACUUCGGGGCUUGGAUUUGGAGCGUGCUGGCGUCGGUCGGCUCCUCUUAAACGCAUCAGCGGAAUCUAACGUUCCGGACGUCAGUGUGAUAAUCACGUUGCGCUGUCUUUCGGUCCGAAAAGCCCGCUCACAAUGGUCUUCGGACAACUUCAUAUCAAAUUUGACCUCAAAUCAGGUAGGACUACCCGCUGAACUUAA